UGGGGAAUUUUGGACAAUGGGCGAAAGCCUGAUCCAGCAAUGCCGCGUGAGUGAAGAAGGCCUUCGGGUUGUAAAGCUCUUUUGUCAGGGAAGAAACGGUGAGGGCUAAUAUCCCUUGCUAAUGACGGUACCUGAAGAAUAAGCACCGGCUAACUACGUGCCAGCAGCCGCGGUAAUACGUAGGGUGCAAGCGUUAAUCGGAAUUACUGGGCGUAAAGCGUGCGCAGGCGGUUUUGUAAGUCUGUCGUGAAAUCCCCGGGCUCAACCUGGGAAUUGCGAUGGAGACUGCAAGGCUAGAAUCUGGCAGAGGGGGGUAGAAUUCCACGUGUAGCAGUGAAAUGCGUAGAGAUGUGGAGGAACACCGAUGGCGAAGGCAGCCCCCUGGGUCAAGAUUGACGCUCAUGCACGAAAGCGUGGGGAGCAAACAGG
rnacentral:rRNA from 2 species